GCAUAUGAUGAGAACAUAUAUUUUUAUCUGAAAAAAAUUGUUGAAUAAAAAUUUAUGCGUUAUCUUUCUGAUG
rnacentral:snoRNA from 1 species